rnacentral:rRNA from 1 species
GAGCGAACGCUGGCGGCAGGCUUAACACAUGCAAGUCGAGCGCCCCGCAAGGGGAGCGGCAGACGGGAGAGUAACACGUGGGAACAUACCUUUUGGUUCGGAACAACUGAGGGAAACUUCAGCUAAUACCGGAUAAGCCCUUACGGGGAAAGAUUUAUCGCCGAAAGAUUGGCCCGCGUCUGAUUAGCUAGUUGGUGAGGUAACGGCUCACCAAGGCGACGAUCAGUAGCUGGUCUGAGAGGAUGAUCAGCCUCACUGGGACUGAGACACGGCCCAGACUCCUACGGGAGGCAGCAGUGGGGAAUAUUGGACAAUGGGGGCAACCCUGAUCCAGCCAUGCCGCGUGAGUGAUGAAGGCCUUAGGGUUGUAAAGCUCUUUUGCCCGGGAAGAUAAUGACGGUACCGGGAGAAUAAGCCCCGGCUAACUUCGUG